UGUUAGCUUCUCUAAAUUAAAUAAUUCUUCAGAAAAAAAUCUUGCCACAGCAAAACUGAGAAUUCCGUUGUGCCUUCCCAAUUACACCAAGAACAGGAAUGUUAGAGAUUAACUAGACACACCUGAUCCCAAGGAUGAAAUGCCUAGAGUUCAGAUCCAGAGCCUGAGGCCAUUAAAGGCAAAAGUUCAGUUUAUAAAUACAGAAUGGUACAGUAUAAUGAGAAAAGAGUAAGCCUGAAAACCCCUGCUGAAGCAAAUCUCCAGCAUGCUUACAUUCCCUACCUCUGUGAAAUCAAUCUUCAUCUCCAUCUCAGUGAAGUCACAAACAUCUGCAUGCAAUCCCCCAUCUCUGUGAAGUCAGAGACUUCUUCCAUCCCCACCUCUGCAAAGUUACAGACAUCUGCUCCCUAUUGUCAUCUCUGUGGAGUCAUAGACUUUUCUUCUAUCCCCAUCUCUAUGAAGAUAUAGAUCUCAGCUUUGAUUCUCCCAUCUCUGUGAUAUCAUAAACUUCUGCUUCCAUUCCCAUAUUUCUCUGAAGUCAUGGAUUUCUGCUACAGUCCCCUAUCUCUGUGAAAUCAUUGACUUUUGCUUCCAAAUCCCAUCUCUGUGAAGUCAUAGACUUCUUCCAUUACCACCUCUAUGAAAUCACAGAUAACUGCUUCCAUCCCCUAUCUCUGUUAAAUCAUAGACCUCUGUUCCAUCCUCAUCUGUGUGAAGUCAUAGACCUCUGCACCCAUUCCUCAUCUCUGGGAAAUCAAAGACACUUGCCUUCAUCCCCCAUCUCUGUUUUUAUCUGUUUCAUUUUCAGCUUCAGGGUCAAAAUGGAGCAAACUGCUUUUUGGUGAGACAGUCACUCUGUUUUGUAGACAUUAUCUCACCAAUAGAUGUUUCAGUAGGUGAAAAAGUCCAGGGAACAAUUUAUUCCUAUCUUUAAAAGCUACAGACAAAACAUACCACGGAAAGAGAAUACACAGGAGACCUUAAGCAAAACAUAAACACCAGAAAACAUAUAAUGCAGAUGGAAGACUGGUAAACAGUGGACUGAAGUGCUGGUUAUUUCCUGUGUUUCCAGUUAGUAUUUAUCAAGAGAGUCCCAUGCAGAGUCUGACAGCUUUGGGUGAUGUUGCUUCCCUCAGAGCACAGCAUGCUCUGUUGAUGCCGCUACAUCUGACCUCAGCAUUCUCAACAGCUGUCAACACUUAUAUCCUGUUUUAAAAAUGGAAACAGAUUCUGAAAACUUAAAUGAUCUGGAACAGCAGCCACUCUUGAGCUACUAUGCUUUUUAUUAAAUUAAUGAAAGGGAUCAAUUAAACAGAAUGCAGAGAAGAGAUCCUUGCACUUUUAGUGACUAUUGGAUUGAGUUCUAUUUUACAAUAUCAUCUAAUUUCAACUCCCUUGAAACAAGAAGAUUGAGAGCUCAGUUAGCCCUUGUCCAAGUUCUUGAAAAGCUGAAGGCACAGCCAGACUGAACCAGGUAGUCCCAGGGAUCCUUCCUGUUUCCUUUUGAAGGCUCAUCUCUACCACCAGGAAUCACUUGUGGCUUUAUUAACAGAGGACUCUGAAGGUAAAUUAAAAAUCAGAUACCUGUGUUUAUGAUGAUAAGGAGAGUUAGAGAUAAUUGAAAUUACAAAUAAGUAAGUGUUUUACACUGUUUAAUCUACAAAGGCAGCUUGCUUUGCGCAUUCUAAGGACAAGUAUGAUACCUCUACCAUAGUGCAUCACAGUCUCCAUCCUGAGACUAGAACAGGGUCUUCUUUCCACAUCAGGUUUGAAGACCUGAAUCUCUCAACCUAUUUUUCCAAACGACAAGUGAUUAGAUAGACACAUACCUCUGUGUCUAUAAAAUUAGAAUCUAGACACAGGGUGUCCUCGUUUUGUUUCAGAAGCAGAUUGGGGGAAGAAAUGUGUUUAUCUGGCUUACAAGUCCUGAUCACAGUCUAUCAUCAAGAGAAAUCAAGGCAGGAAUUCAGCAGGAGCUGAGGCAGUUGCCAUAAUGGAGCACUGCUUCCUGGCUUGCUCUCCAAGACUUUCUCAGCUUGCUGUUAUAUAGCACCUGGCACCACCUGUCUGGGGGUAGUACCACCCACAGUAGGCUAGCUCCUUCCACAUUGGUUUUUAAUCAAGAAUAUGCUGAGUAGACAUGCCCAAGGCACAAUCUGAUGGAAGUAAUUCCUUAAUUGAGAUUUUUUUGUCAGGUAUAUCUAGGUUCUGGUCAAGCUGACAAAGACUAACCAGUACACAGAAUUUCUGUUAUGGCAGUUCAUAUAAAUCUCCUAUAAACUCUGGAGAAGGCUUCCAUUCAAUGUUGCAGGACUGUAAGCACUGCUAUUCUUCACGCCCUUAUUGAGAGGGCCCACCAGUAAAGUGAGAGACAUGGGGGCUGUCAUGGAACCAGCCUUCUCAAUGCUCUCUCUGCACCAGCCCAACAAUAAAGUCUAAGUUUGGGAUUUGAACAACUUUACACUUUUCGUUUCAACCCACCCAUCAUUAAAGACGUAGAUUGUCCUUUUACUUCUAUCACAUAAGUUACUAAGAAAAAAAAUGAUGGAGAAACAUGGAAACUUAGACACAGUCUCUUACUCUGCAAUCAUUCAAAAUCUGACCUGCAGAUUAGUAAUCUUCCACAAGUCAGAAAACAGAUAUUUAUUCCUAGGCAUAAGUUAGAUACACCAUUUUCAAAUAUAAUGUCAAAUACAACACCAGCAAAAUAUGAAAAGUUAAACCACUUCCAACAUUUUGUGGGAAAAUAUGAAUUAGCUAAACUUUCUGUGCUGUUAUUAUUUACAAGAAAUGGAGUAAAAUGUUAGGAUUUUGUAAAGUAAUUUUUUCCAUAUACAACUAAGAAAAAAAUAAACUGAGCUGAUAAAAAUGGAAA